rnacentral:hammerhead_ribozyme from 1 species
AUCCAGAUGACGAGUUUGAAAAAGAACGAGACGCGCGUCCUGGAU